AGCAGCCGCGGUAAUUCCAGCUCCAAUAGCGUAUAUUAAAGUUGUUGCAGUUAAAAAGCUCGUAGUUGAAUUUCGGGAUCAAGUCGUCGGUCGUGCUCAAGUACGUACUGGCGUCAUUGAUUUCUCCCUUCUGACGAACCAUGAUGUCAUUAAUUUGGUGUUAUGGGAAAUCAGGACUGUUACUUUGAAAAAUUAGAGUGUUUAAAGCAGGCUCACGCUUGAAUACAUUAGCAUGGAAUAAUGAAAUAGGACGUUCGAUCCUAUUUUGUUGGUUUUAGGAUCAACGUAAUGAUUAAUAGGGAUAGUUGGGGGCAUUAGUAUUCAAUUGUCAGAGGUGAAAUUCUUGGAUUUAUUGAAGACUAACUACUGCGAAAGCAUUUGCCAAGGAUGUUUUCAUUAAUCAAGAACGAAAGUUAGGGGAUCGAAGACGAUCAGAUACCGUCGUAGUCUUAACCAUAAACUAUGCCGACUAGGGAUCGGAUGAUGUUAAUUUUUAAUGACUCAUUCGGCGCCUUAAC
rnacentral:rRNA from 1 species